UACGUAGGGUGCGAGCGUUAAUCGGAAUUACUGGGCGUAAAGGGUGCGCAGGCGGCCGCGCAAGUCGAGUGUGAAAGCCCCGAGCUUAACUUGGGAAUUGCGCUCGAAACUACGUGGCUGGAGUGUGGCAGAGGAAGGUGGAAUUCCACGUGUAGCGGUGAAAUGCGUAGAGAUGUGGAGGAACACCGAUGGCGAAGGCAGCCUUCUGGGCCAACACUGACGCUCAUGCACGAAAGCGUGGGGAGCGAACAGG
rnacentral:rRNA from 1 species